rnacentral:rRNA from 1 species
GAUGAACGCUGGCGGCGUGCCUAAUACAUGCGAGUCGAGCGAACGGACGAGAAGCUUGCUUCUCUGAUGUUAGCGGCGGACGGGUGAGUAACACGUGGAUAACCUACCUAUAAGACUGGGAUAAAUUCGGGAAACCGGAGCUAAUACCGGAUAAUAUUUUGAACCGCAUGGUUCAAAAGUGAAAGACGGUCUUGCUGUCACUUAUAGAUGGAUCCGCGCUGCAUUAGCUAGUUGGUAAGGUAACGGCUUACCAAGGCAACGAUGCAUAGCCGACCUGAGAGGGUGAUCGGCCACACUGGAACUGAGACACGGUCCAGACUCCUACGGGCGGCAGCAGUAGGGAAUCUUCCGCUAUGGGCGACAGCCUGACGUAGCAACGCCGCGUGAGUCAUGAAGGUCUUCGGAUCGUAAAACUCUGUUAUUAGGGAAGAACAUAUGUGUAAGUAACUGUGCACAUCUUGACGGUACCUAAUCAGAAAGCCACGGCUAACUCCGUG